GAAAAUGACUUAUAUUGUAUGAAUUGAGCCACAGCUAGAAAAUUUGACCAUUUCUUGUUUUACCACAGCAUUCUAGAUUAUGAGCUGCUAGAUGUGGAGAUACCUACAAUCUCUUUAGUUGGAGAACUUAUUAAGGCUGGAAUUCGAGUCUUGGUUUACAGUGGUGAUCAAGAUUCUGUUAUUCCACUGACUGGAAGCCGAACCUUGGUUCGUGGGCUGGCAAAUCAAUUGGGAUUGAACACGACUGUACCAUAUCGUGUUUGGUUUGGAGGGCAACAGGUUGGUGGAUGGACUCAAGUUUAUGGUGAUACCCUCUCAUUCGCCACCAUUAGAGGUGCUUCUCAUGAAGCUCCUUUCUCACAGCCGGGGAGAUCGCUUGUACUAUUCCAGUCAUUUUUACAAGGCAUGCCUCUACCGGAAAUGUUCUAAUAUGUAUCAAUCCAAUUCCCAUAGCUUGAGAUUGUAAG